rnacentral:rRNA from 1 species
UCGAGAAUCUUCCGCAAUGGGCGAAAGCCUGACGCAGCGACGCCGCGUGGGGGAUGAAGGUCUUCGGAUUGUAAACCCCUUUCGGCAGGGAAGAUGGAACGGGUAACCGUUCGGACGGUACCUGCAGAAGCAGCCACGGCUAACUUCGUGCCAGCAGCCGCGGUAAUACGAAGGUGGCAAGCGUUGUUCGGAUUUACUGGGCGUACAGGGAGCGUAGGCGGUUGGGUAAGCCCUCCGUGAAAUCUCCGGGCCUAACCCGGAAAGUGCGGAGGGGACUGCUCGGCUAGAGGAUGGGAGAGGAGCGCGGAAUUCCCGGUGUAGCGGUGGAAUGCGUAGAUAUCAGGAAGAACACCUGUGGCGAAGGCGGCUAGCUGGGCCAGUUCUGACGCUCAUCCGCGAAAGCGUGGGGAGCAAACAGGAUUAGAUACCCUUGUAGUCCCUGAGCGGGCUGGCAAGGCGCAU